CUCUUAUGAAAACAUGUCUGCUGCAGCUCAGUUGUUAGCGAACUGAGUGACUGAAGCAGAUGACAUUUGAAUACUUCCAUGUGAAAAUGAUGCUGGGUUUGCUUACAGAUAUGUGACCACUGUUGGAAUAACUCACUUUAUAGCAGAAGUUCACUACCUUACCAGCUGAGGACACCUUCCUUGUGCACUGCAACUUUGCCAAUGUGGAAAAUGUGAUGGUAUCUUUUAUUGCCUCAAAGUGGUUAUACGGUUAAAUGGCAAGUACUUCAGGAAAUCUAAUCCAUUUCUUUUCAACUACAAGGAUCCACAACUACUUAUGAAACAAUAGCAGCUAUUUCAGGGAGAAAAUGAGAAAACAAUUCCAGCUGCAGAGAGAAGAGCUCUGCCAUUCCACAGAACUUUUUCCCCCACCUCAUUGCUAGCUCUUAGCAGGGAGAGGGUGAGCAGACCCACCCACUUCUAAUCCGAAAAAGUUUCUUCAUUCUGUUGAUCCUUAGAGAACACUGCUAACCUUCCACCUUUUCUAUACUUCAAAGGCCUCUGAUGGGGCAUACAUAUAUUGUCCUGAUUGUCCAACACUGCUGGCAUAGAAUGGCAUAUACCACAUUGGAGGAAGAGCAAAUAUAAAUUCACUACUGAUGUUGUAGGUAAUUGGCCCCUGUAAUAUUGCUUACAGAGCAGAUGUAGGGACUGAAUUGGCAUCUUGGUUUGUGUCAGGGUCUUGCCCCUGUAUUACCAUCCAUGUUAUGUAUCUUAUUAUAAAAGAGUAGUUUUUUAAGAUCUGGAGGCUGUCCAUAGGUCAAUAAAGGCCUGCAAGAGACUAACAAAGCUACUUCUUUGAAUGUUACUUUACUUGUUAUUGCUGAGUUAUGGAAAUCGCUAACAUUAUACUCAAAUAAUUUAAGGUCAAAUGAGUAACAUGUUACAAUUUCUAAGGAACAUUCCAUGCUCUGGUAUCUUUAUUUUCAAGGAGCUCAUGUAGUGGAACAUCACAUUUUUUUCUCCUCCUAGCAAUUAGAAGUGAGACAAUUGGCUCAAGAACCUCAUCUACAGAAUAACAUAGAUCAGAUUACAUUCACGCUUCAGGUUCAGACCUUUAUGUGUGAAGGAGAAAAGGCAGUGUAAUUUACAGUGUAUAAUAAACCAAUCAAGUAUGCAGUGGCAAAGCUGUGCCAUUUAAAAUAAGAAAGAAAGAUACACUAUCAAAGACACAACCAGUCAUUGUGGUAUGUUUGUGAUGACACUUCCUGAUUUUGAAAAACUGAGGAAGUAUUCAUCAUGAUCACACAAAGUACUCAUUUUGACUGGUUUAUCUUCAGUUGUCAAUGACAGUUUUCAUAUGAAAAUGCAUGAUUAUUUUUUCUAUAGAAUAGCAUUGCAGUUACCUUAUUGAGAAGAGUAACAAUAUCACCUUCUUUGAUUGUCAGCUCGUCUUCAUUCUGAGCUUCAUAUGGGAAUAUAACUUUGCAAUAUUCCUUUACUGAAAGGGGGAGAAAAGGUUGUAUUUUAAUAUAGUGUUUUGUAAAACAUUCAUAUUUUGUGAAAAUGAAUAUGCUUCCUCAUGUUUAUCUAUACAACUGACUUCAGAAAUAGUAUGAAACUUUAAAAAGCUUUGCAAAAUAACUGAUAAUGAAAAACAUAGAUUUCUGUAGAAACAGUAGCUUUGUAAAAUACUCUGGCCGGAAAUAUUCCAUUAAACUAUUUUAAUUGGAAGACUGUGCUCAUUUCUCACUCACAGGAAGGGAGUGAGAAGGGAUCCCCAUAGGGAAUAAGAAACCUUUCUGUUUUUUCCAUGGCACUAGGUCAUUAAGGCAAACGAAAGCACACAUUAUCGUUUUUAAUUUAAUAGUUUUAAGCACAUAAACACAUUACAUUUUUAAUAAAUAUUAUAUUAUUACAAAUCCUGCAGCUUUUAUUUUUUCUUUGGAUCCCUAGGGAAG